rnacentral:lncRNA from 1 species
GGUGGAGCCACGACUGGGACGCAGACAGCCUGGCCCGCUAGUCCAACAGACCCCAAAGCCCCCGACAAAGUAGUUCCUGUGGUUUACUUGGGAGACCUUGGGAGCCCUGUGAAGCACACGGAAGAGACUGCAGGCGGGCAGCGGUGAGGCUGGACGUGCGGCAACCUGCUUGCCCAAGGAUAUGCCCGGAGGUGAGCCAGGGUCUCUCAGGCCACGCCUGCGGCACAUCUGAUUUCUCCAUGAAUGCUGAAGUCCUUUGAGGGCUGAGAAUAGAUUCUGAUAAGAUUAACAGCAAGAACUUGCUAUCUUCCGGGCCUUGAGGUGAGGCAACUAUCCCCAAAUCUCACACGCCAUAAGCGACAGAGCCCUGGAGAGCCCAGGCAGACCAGCUCUGCUUGGCCACGCUGCCUCAUCUGCCUCUGGACCACGGCUUUCUUGUACCAGAUUGAGAACCGGGACUGUCUACACCACACAGCUCACUGUCUACAGGAACGUGACUUCACUGGCGUGUUUGUCCUCGUCAACAUGAGUUUACUAUUCCAGAAAACUCUUGCCACAGAGCUGUAGAUAACUUUAUCUUUUCAGCGUCUUCUGGAAAGACCCAUCAGCUUUUCAAUACAAAACAUCAAACCCUCUCAAGUCUCUUUUAACCCUGCCUCAGAAUCACCGGUUUGCUGUGUCAUCCCGCAAUCCUCACCUAUUACAACAUGGUCCUCACCCAAGCCUAAUCAAGGCCCCAUUCAAUGGGAAAACCCACCUGGAAUCAGACUUCAGCAUCUCA